rnacentral:lncRNA from 1 species
GGCUGGGGAUGUGGAGGAGGGUUCCUAAGCCAUAAUCAGUAGCUUGAGUCCCUGUGACCUGUUUGGAGCUUAUAGUCAACAUCUAACUGGGUUCAGGAGAAGUAGCAGUGGGUUUAUGCAGCUCAGGAGAGAUAUGCCAGUUCAAAGGUGUGGGAGGAAAAGAUAGGGAUGUUUGGUGGCUACUAAAAUCAGAGCUUCUUAAACUGAGGUUAUCAUCAGAAUUACCCAGGAAACUUAAAAUAGAGGCUUGGGAGUGGAGCACACAUCUGUGGUUUUCAAAGCUCUUGGCUGAUUCUGAUAUCAGGUAAGGCAGGGCCCACUGGUUUGUGGGCUACUGUGAAUGAGGGGUAGCACUCAACUUAGGCAACACAGUGUUUCUGGGGGUGAGACUUCUAAUCAGAAAUAAUGAGGUUUUGGAGAUAUAUUUAGCCCAGUUUUCCAAAAUUAGCCUUACUGUUGGGGAUGACCUUAAGACUUGGGACUCAGCUGAAGGGAUCUGGGAAGAGGACCAAAGUACCUACCUCCUGAGUGAUUAGGAGGCAAAGGUUUGCAGGUCCCUAAGCCUAAAGGAAAGGAGUUUGGCUUAGGUCAAAGAACCAUCAGUCUUUUGAGGUAAACUGUAUGUCCAAAUGAGGAAACCAAAGCUCAGAGCAAUUAGGUGAAUCAUCUAAGGAUUCCCAGCUAGUUGGUGGCAGAGGCAGAGUUUGACCUUUAGGCUGUUUGAUUCCCAAAUGUGAGUUCUUUUGAUGUCAGAUUUCAUUUCCCUUUUCAGAGGCCAUUUUAGUCCAAGAAGGGAGUUGAACAUAAGUUGAAGAGUUGGGGUAGUGGAGGUGAGCAAAAUUUAAGGAAUGAAUGAUAGUGCUAAAAGACGCAAAGAGCGUUUAUUUUGAAAACUCACAGUGGGGUUAUUGUUUCAAUUAGGUUCUCCAUAGUGUGAGAUUUUAGUAUAUCCAUGAUAUCUUCAAAUCAGCUUGAGUAUUAGGUAGGGGCAUAAUAACCAAACCAGUGGAACCAAAGGAUGCUUAGGUUCUAAAUUUUAAUAAACAACUAUUCAUACCUUUCCAGAAUCACUUAAAAGGAAACUGGUAUAACUUUGAUAAUAUAGCCCUCAUAUUUUAGCAGUGUCUCUAAAGUGCUCACCGUCUUGGUUUGAGAAGGAAGUCAGCAAUGACUUGGAAACCAUGCCAUACUUGUAACAUGGGCUUGAGAGUCCAGAGCGGAGAGAGUAAAGCAAAUGACAAAGCACCCUUUGGAGGAUGAGGACAGAAAUCCAUGUAGGAAAAUAAUCACACCUUGGGGAUCAUGAAGGGUCUGUAAGUACUACCGAUUACUCACCAGUUGUAAGAUCUCCCAGCAUUAAUCCAUCUUGGCAGUGGGAAGGAUGUUACCAAAUGUUUACAUUGCCUGCUGGCUUCUUCCAAACUCCUGGCUGGAAAAAAAAUGAGUGAAUAUUCACUCUGGAUGAUGGAAUUGUUUCUUGUAUAGAGUCUACCUCGAGGAGGUCCUUCAAACAAAUAAACUGGGAUUUGAAAUUUUAUUUUUUUGUUGACCACACUCCAACAAAUUCUGAAGCAUCUAAGUCGUAUCCUGGAAGCAGUUUCCUUAAAUUUAAUGAGACUCAUGUCAGGCCAAUGACCACCAAGGUUAUAUUUUAGCCUUAUAUUUUAAAUACUCUGGAAAUGUCAAACUUGGCCCCAUCAUAUUGGACGAGACAGAGGGAAAAAAAAAAAAAAACUUGGUUCUUGAAGGUGCUGCAACAUUUUUAGGUCACUGUUUACUUAACUUCCAGCACGUAAGAUGAUUGGAAAAAAGUGCACUUGCAGAAAAACAAAAUAAAAAAUAUUUUCCCCUCUAUUUGUAGGAGAUACUUUGUUGAAAAGCAGUAAGGAUAAUGUGGGAUAGAAGACAAGAGGAGCUGCGUUCAGGUGCAUGCAGGGGCUAGAAGAAUUCUUUGGCUACUAUGGAUUUUGAAAUGGCUAGCCCUUCUUCAGGUGAUACUUGAUGGGAUUGUCAGGGGAAAAAAAAAAGCCCCGUUAUUAACUAGCAAACCUCAGGAGACACUAAGUGUCUUGGAUAAAGGAGAGAGAGACGUAAGUGUACCAUUUUAGCAUAUUACUAACCCUUGUCAGCAGAGAGGAGGUUUUCUUUGAAGAGAGGCACUAAACACAUUUUCACAUUAUACCUACAGAGAGGGUUCACCCGGGAGCCAAAGGCAGGUUGUCAUCCAGGAACACAAUAUUCUCCCAGCUCAGCAGGUCAUGAGGACCUCGUUCUUAAACCUGGGACUAUUGCCAGCCUGUGGAGAGACACUUUGGCUACUCAUAUAGCUCACAGGCCUGGAAAGAGUGUCUUUCUUCCACAUCUUACUGGGUGGCCAUGAAAUUGUAGGCCUGGUGAAAAACCAUCUUCCUCAAAGUGCUGCAGAUGGUUGGGGGCCAAAGACAG